rnacentral:SRP_RNA from 1 species
GGCUAAUUUCUGGCUUGCCCAUUCCAAGCUGGGAGUUGAGCCACGUGAUCCGAGCGAAGGCCUGGACCUCAUGGGUUCCUAGAGCUUAGGGUACCGCGUGAGGCUGGCUUCACAGAGCCAGCGAUCCCCUCUCCCUCCUGGCAGUGGAAGGAUAACAGGUCGGUAUU